rnacentral:rRNA from 1 species
GACGAACGCUGGCGGCGUGCUUAACACAUGCAAGUCGAACGGAAAGGCCCUGCUUUUGUGGGGUGCUCGAGUGGCGAACGGGUGAGUAACACGUGAGUAACCUGCCCUUGACUUUGGGAUAACUUCAGGAAACUGGGGCUAAUACCGGAGAGGAGCUCCUGCUGCAUGGUGGUGGUUGGAAAGUUUCGGCGGCUGGGGAUGGACUCGCGGCUUAUCAGCUUGUUGGUGGGGUAGUGGCUUACCAAGGCUUUGACGGGUAGCCGGCCUGAGAGGGUGACCGGCCACAAUGGGCCUGAGAUACGGCCCAGACUCCUACGGGAGGCAGCAGUGGGGAACCUUGCAGAGUGGGCGGAAGCGUGAUGCAGCAACGCCGCGUGCGGGAUGACGGCCUUCGGGUUGUAAACCGAUUUGGCAUGUGACGAAGCGUGAGUGACGGUAAUGGGUAAAGAAGCACCGGCUAACUACGUG